GACGAACGCUGGCGGCGUGCUUAACACAUGCAAGUCGAACGGAAAGGCUCCAGCUUGCUGGAGUACUCGAGUGGCGAACGGGUGAGUAACACGUGGGUAAUCUGCCCUGCACUCUGGGAUAAGCCCGGGAAACUGGGUCUAAUACUGGAUAUGACCUUUCUCCUUAUGGGGUUUGGUGGAAAGUUUUUCGGUGUAGGAUGUGCCCGCGGCCUAUCAGCUUGUUGGUGGGGUGAUGGCCUACCAAGGCGACGACGGGUAGCCGGCCUGAGAGGGUGAUCGGCCACAUUGGGACUGAGAUACGGCCCAGACUCCUACGGGAGGCAGCAGUGGGGAAUAUUGCACAAUGGGCGGAAGCCUGAUGCAGCGACGCCGCGUGAGGGAUGACGGCCUUCGGGUUGUAAACCUCUUUCAGCAGGGACGAAGCGUAAGUGACGGUACCUGCAGAAGAAGCACCGGCUAACUACGUG
rnacentral:rRNA from 1 species